rnacentral:rRNA from 1 species
UUCCAGACUCCUACGGGAGGCAGCAGUGAGGAAUAUUGGUCAAUGGGCGAGAGCCUGAACCAGCCAAGUCGCGUGAGGGAAGACGGUCCUAUGGAUUGUAAACCUCUUUUGCCGGGGAGCAAAAAGCGGUACGUGUACCGCAUCGAGAGUACCCGGAGAAAAAGCAUCGGCUAACUCCGUGCCAGCAGCCGCGGUAAUACGGAGGAUGCGAGCGUUAUCCGGAUUUAUUGGGUUUAAAGGGUGCGCAGGCGGAGGUGCAAGUCAGCGGUCAAAUUGCGGGGCUCAACCCCGUACUGCCGUUGAAACUGCAUCCCUUGAGUGCGCGAGAAGUAUGCGGAAUGCGUGGUGUAGCGGUGAAAUGCAUAGAUAUCACGCAGAACUCCGAUUGCGAAGGCAGCAUACCGGCGCGCAACUGACGCUCAUGCACGAAAGCGUGGGUAUCGAACAGGAUUAGAUACCCGAGUA